rnacentral:rRNA from 1 species
GGAACCCUGAACCGGCCGCCUGUGGCGUUAUCCCCUUCCCAUCCCCUGGCUCUCAAUUCCCGAUCCCCUUUCUUGCUGCUACCAAAUUCAUCAAUUGUACCCAGAUAUGUGAUGAACUGAUAUUCGAUCGAGCAGAGGGAGUUGAGGAUCGUAUCAGGAUGGGCGGCGGCGCGGCGGACCAUGGCCAGGCCAGCGCCCACCCUCGCCCGGAACCGGCCGUCCCCGAGCACCGGCGCAAGAAGCGCCGUGCUCGUCUGCUUCCACGGCGCCACGGCGUCCAGGAGAUCCCCGACGAGCUCGUGGCGGAGAUCCCCGACGAGCUCGUGGCGGAGAUCUUCCUCCGGCGGCCCAUCCUAGCCGAUCUGGUCCGCGCCUCCCUCGCCUGCGUCUCCUUCCGAGGCCUCAUCGCCGACCGCUACUUCCUCCGGCGCCUCCGCAAGCUCCACGCCCCACCCGUCCUCGGGUUUCUUAACGGAUACCGAGAUUUCUUCCCCGUGAUCCCGCCUUCUCCUUUCGCGUCCGCAGCCAGCGCCGUCGCCCUCGCCGCCGACUUCUCCUUCUCCUUCCUGCCCGCCCCGCCCGCGACUGGAAGAUCCUGGACGUCCGCGAUGGCCGCGUCCUCCUCAAGAGAUCUCCCUCUAGCUGCCAUAAUCGUCCCCUGGUGGUGUGUGACCCCUUAUACCGGCGGUACCUCCUGCUUCCCCCAAUCCCUUCAGUCGAGGAGUGGGUUCCUCACUCGAAAAAAAAGAAAAAGAAAAAAAAAGUGGUGUGGGUUCCUCGUAAACUGCAGUGCUUCCUUAAAGUGCAGGAGGAGGCCGCAGAAGAGACAUCAUUCACAGUGAUCUUGAUUGCGAAAUCCGGAGAUAAGCAUACCGCUUUUGUCUUCUCUUCCAGUACGGGACAAUGGCGAGCUGGUCCAUGGACACCAUGGACUGCUGAGUUUUCUUUGGCUUUCUUCUCCUACCUCCGGUACGCAUAUGGCUGCUUCUACGGGGUGACAGAGUGCACCGAAAAGUUGCUUGUGCUUGACACCCGGACAAUGGAGUUCUCAGUUGCUGACCUCCCACCUGAAGCAAGAGUAGAAUCUGUGGAUAUAGCCAUUGUGGAGGCAGGGGAAGGCAUCACUGGGAUGUUUGUGCUUCCACAUCUCACAUCUCACAUCAGUUAUCUGAUUAGGCAAAACAAUGGUGGGAGUUCCAGCCAGUGGCGGUUGGAGAAGACAAUCCGACUGGAUUCUUGUUGGUACAGUUUCACAAAUUCAACAGGGAGGCACUUGCUCUUGUUUCAUUCAGGAAGCUCAUCGCUCGGUAAAGGCACUUUCGCGCUGGACAUCAAGACAUUCCAGCUUGAGAAGGUGUUUGCAACACCUGGCAAACCCAUGCCAUAUGUAUAUAGCAACUUCCCACCAUCAUUGCUAUCGUCCCCAACAAUAUCGAGUGCUGCUUCAUAGUUCAUUAUUCUGAUCGGAGAUUGCACAUGAGGAGAUGUUGGAACAAGGCUUGCGCUGCAGUGCUCAAGCACAUAGUCAGCUUGGUCAGAAUAGUGCUGAUGCUAAUGCUGGAGGUCCGGCUGAUGUGUUUGAGUAUUGAAGAUGGUGCCGAGUGUUUUUUGGUCUUCUUGCGAUGUAUUUCAAGUUGGUCUGUAAUAUGGUCAUCCUGAAGGGGAGAACCUGUAGUAUUUUAUCUUGUGUUCCUUAAUCCAACAUUGAUUGUUGUGUUUGUUUGUCAGCGAGAGCAUUGAUGGUGUUUAGUUUAUGGAAUCAUUAGUUGAACUAAGACCUUGUAAGAAGUUGUGGAAUGGAGCUUGUGAGGUACUUAUUUGGAAUUAAGGAGACACGACGAUCUACUAGAAGUCAGACCUGCACUGUUGAUAUACUCUAUUUUGUUUACAGUCAUUUCAGAAUUUCCAAUGUCACCGCAGAAGAAGAAAAAAGUAAGCCUAGAGAUGAGAUAAUGACCUCUAAGGUGACUAGAUUUCUGCCGUGACUUUUUUCUGGCUAUCUAUUUCAAUCCGCAUUGCAGAUUAGGAACAGGACUUCUUCAUCUCAGAUUUUUCUCCUUUUUAUAUAUGGU